GAUGAACGCUGGCGGCGUGCCUAACACAUGCAAGUUGAGCGAUUUACUUCGGUAAAGAGCGGCGGACGGGUGAGUAACGCGUGGGUAACCUGCCUCAUACACAUGGAUAACAUACCGAAAGGUAUGCUAAUACAGGAUAAUAUAAGAGAUUCACAUGGAUUUUUUAUCAAAGCUCCGGCGGUAUGAGAUGGACCCGCGUCUGAUUAGCUAGUUGGUAAGGUAAUGGCUUACCAAGGCGACGAUCAGUAGCCGACCUGAGAGGGUAAUCGGCCACAUUGGAACUGAGACACGGUCCAAACGCCUACGGGAGGCAGCAGUGGGGAAUAUUGCACAAUGGGCGAAAGCCUGAUGCAGCAACGCCGCGUGAGUGAUGAAGGCCUUCGGGUCGUAAAACUCUGUCCUCAAGGAAGAUAAUGACGGUACUUGAGGAGGAAGCCCCGGCUAACUACGUGCCAGCAGCCGCCGUAA
rnacentral:rRNA from 1 species